rnacentral:lncRNA from 1 species
GCAGGUGCUCGUCGUCAUUGGCCACAGCUGCUGCGGUGGCAUCAGGGCGCUCCUCUCCCUCAAGGACGGUGCACCUCACAACUUGUAAGUCAUCACUUUUUUUUUAUUUAUUUAUUUCACGGACACACUUAGCUUGAAGCGUGUGUUGUAUUUCAUUAAACCGAAAUGUAUGUAAUAAUCAACGUAAAAUGUACGUACAAGCAGCUAAGUUUCAUUCGGAACCUCUUUGUGUGCCUCGUGUCAUGAUUUUUUUUUUGACCCUAGCAUGAUGUCUCUGUUUGGUUUGGUGGUGUAUGUAUCCAGCCACUUCGUUGAGGACUGGGUCAGGAUCGGCUCCCCUGCCAAGGCGAAGGUGCACAAAGAGCAUGCCUCAGUGCCGUUCGAUGACCAGUGCUCCAUCCUGGAGAAGGUACGUACACCGUAUGUACACGCAUUGCAUGAAUGCAAUGAGUUGAUUUUGCUCACAAAAGGGACCUUGUAUUUUUCUGAAUGUUUCUGCAGGAGGCCGUGAACGUGUCCCUCGCCAACCUCAAGACUUACCCCUUCGUCAAGGAACGGCUGGCCAAAGGGACCCUCAAGCUGGUCGGCGCCCACUACGACUUCGUGUCCGGGAAGUUCCUCACAUGGGAGCCUGUAGGGUUCAUAACCUUCAUCCUUACAUUUUCAAUUGUACAUACUGUAUCUGAGACCACAUGGUUUUACCUCCUGGCACACUCCAGAUCCAAACUUCCUAUCCAUUUUCUCUCCUUCCUUGCCAUCGCAAUUAAUUUCUUUCUAAGAAGAACAAAAUCACCACCAAAUCCAACCACAACACUUGAAAUCCGCCCCAUGCAUAGCACUUGAAACCAGCCCCAACAUCUUAAUUGACCUACUUCUCAUCUUCUUCGGAUAUAAGAAGAUUGAACCCUAUCUCCACCGCAAAUACAUAUAUCGCGUUCACCCGCUACAAACUUCUAGUCCAGUUGUCGCCUGGUCCUCUAUCCGCUUCAAUUAGGCUUGCCGUUGCAUCGAAUUUCUAACCUCGUUGGUGCACCAGGCUCGUCUGUGGUGAUGGAUAUGAGGCCAUGGCCAUCGAGGUCCAUCUACCACAAAGAUGCCACUGCCUUUUUCCAUGGCCACCAUGGUUUGCCGAAUCAGUUGUCCCCCGAGGAAGCAAUCAUCAUGUUGGAGUCGUUCUUCUCUACAAAACGUGCUCAAGUAGCCAUCGACAUUCCGCUUAAGCGAUAUAUAUUGUCCACAAAAGCUGUGCUUGACCGUUACUCAUUUUUCAUCAAAUCCCGCGUUGUGCGGUGUCUCUUUCUCUCACUAAAACGAUUGCACAUGUCAUCAUGUUGAUGUUGCUAGUAAUCUAGACAAUGGGGCAGCUCAAAAGGUGAACGAGAGAGAUAUAGAGAGAAAGGGAGGGAGGGAGGGCCACACCGCAUCUAUCCAUCUGACUAUAAGGGGGCAAAAGAAGAAAAGAGGAGAAGAUGAGAAGUUGCAUUUGCCUCCCUGUUAUAUAUCAAAGGAGGGUCAAUGAAGCCGUCCAUAGAUUCCCACACCUCGUCACUCCUUGAGAACCAGAAGCCCACCCCAUCCAGUCCAAGGUCCGUUCCCUCAUCCUCCUCCCUCACCCUCGCCAUCAUCCUUCACAUAGCACACACAGUAAUCUUUGUCCGUCCCUCUGUUUUCUUUUCCUCUAUUGCCAUCAUGAGCCUGCAACUUCUGCUUUCUCCCUAUGUUGUAUUGUGUUGGUGCAAAGAAGAUCCAUCUUCCCCUUUUUGAUCAUAUUUUAUGCAUGCUUUCCUUAUGGUCCGUGGCAAGGAGGCCAAGCAUUGGCAUCAUGCCCCUUCUAUCUCUCUCUACCCCCUCAUGCCCCUUCUCUUUCUCUCUCUACCCCCGUCAUGCUGCAUCACGAUCAUGAGUAUGCAAGUUGGUCUUUCCGGGAUGGCAAAAUGACCGAUGGUUUUCUGGUUGUUGGUCUUGUAGGUGAUGGACGCCGUUGACCGCUUGAAGAGCGGGUUCGAGCAGUUCAAGAUCGAGGUCUAUGAGUAAGUCAUCUCUCUACUUAGAGCUGUUGUUUUUUUAAUUUGUAGCACCCAUGUUUGGUUUAAUAUUUUCAGUUUCAACCACUUGAUUUAUUUUGGGAAUUCUGAGAGCUCCGACUGAUACUGCCAUGUUGUCUUUUUUCUGCAGCAAGAAGCCAGAGCUUUUUGAGCCUCUCAAAUCUGGCCAGGCCCCCAGGGUAUGUGUAGGGAUGAAAAUGGAUCAAAUUUGUAUAGAAUCAAAUCCAUAUAUCACCUCUUAACACAUUUUUAUUCAAAUUCAGUUAUUGGAUACAUAUACUUUUGAAUACAAAUAUAAAACAAAUGUCUUGAAUCUGUAUUUCUAUUCAAAGAUUUACUCAAUUCAACUCAAAUUGUAUAUUGCUAAAUUCAACGUACAUGUAUACAAUUUUACUACUAAAUUCAUCGAUAAACCUUUUUUGCUUUAUCAAUUUUUUAGGUUUACAAACUAUUAUAUUGAAACAUUUGUGUAUAUAAUUUAAAAUGAAUGGUGACAGCUUGUCGCCAUUAGCGGCCAAUUGGCAAGUACUAGUAGUAGUCUGUUGGAUAUAAUCCCUCCAUCCUAAAUAUAUGCAGAAAUCAUCUAUUGAGGAGUAAUUCUUUUUUUCAGUUUAACUAAAAGUAUAAUUUAUUUCGAAAAAAUACUAAAUGCUCAAUCUAAUGAUAUUUAUUAUACACUAUAAACAUUAAUAUAUUUUUAAUAUAAAUAUAAUUAAAAUUUAAAAAUUUGAAGUUUCAUAAAGCGAGAUGUACAGUUAUUUUGGGACAAAAGAAAUAGUCCUAUAAUUAUUUUGUACUACAAAAGUCUGCUCCAUAGGGCACAAGCUUCAACUUUGGCACUACUAGUCAUAGGCUCAUUGCGCAAAGAAAUGGUGGUGGGAGUGGGAUACAUACAUGCUCCUUCUUUUCCCGAUCGAUCGACCUGAUGCUGAUUAUUUUCCUCUGCUGCAUGCAUGCAGUACAUGGUGUUCGCCUGCGCUGACUCCCGUGUGUGCCCGUCGGUGACCCUGGGCCUGAUGCCCGGCGAGGCCUUCACCGUCCGCAACAUCGCCGCCCUGGUCCCAGGCUACGACAAGGUACGUACACACUGACCGUCGUCGCCGACGACACAAAAUGGCCGUCUAUUUCUCCUCGGCCCGGCCGGCCGCCGCCGGCCGGGCAUGACAGAGGAUCGAGGACUGACACGGCCGCGCCUUUCGUAUUCGUCACCUGCAGACCAAGUACACCGGCAUCGGGUCCGCCAUCGAGUACGCCGUGUGCGCCCUCAAGGUGCAGGUGCUCGUCGUCAUUGGCCAUAGCUGCUGCGGUGGCAUCAGGGCGCUCCUCUCCCUCCAGGACGGUGCACCUGACAACUUGUAAGACGCCACCGUAAAAUAUACAAAGUUUCAUUAAGAUAAAACAAAAAUUCUUUUGUACCUCUAUGAUGAUUUUGAUCCCAGCGCAUUUUUAUCUGUUGUUUUUUUUGUGGUGUAUCCAGCCACUUUGUUGAGGACUGGGUCAAGAUUGGCUUCCCUGCCAAGAUGAAGGUGAAGAAAGAGAACGCUUCGGUGCCGUUCGAU